ensembl:snRNA U6 U6 spliceosomal RNA
GUGCUUGCUUCAGCAGCACAUACACUAAAAUUGGAAUGAUAUAGAGAAGAUUAGCAUGGCCUUUGGGCAAGGAUGACAUGCAAAUUCAUGAAGUGUUCCAUAUUAAA